GUGGAUGUGUUGUAAUUGGCAGCAUAUCUAUUUUUGCCAAAUUGAAGGUGCGAGUUCAAAUCUCGUCAUCUACACCA
rnacentral:tRNA from 1 species